GACCCUGUCCUCCUAUUUUCAGUUGGUUUGCCGCGAGGACCAGGGUAAUGAUUAAUAGGGAUAGUUGGGGGCAUUAAUAUUUAAUUGUCAGAGGUGAAAUUCUUGGAUUUAUGAAAGAUUAACUUCUGCGAAAGCAUCUGCCAAGGAUGUUUUCAUUAAUCAAGAACGAAAGUUAGGGGAUCGAAGACGAUCAGAUACCGUCGUAGUCUUAACCAUAAACGAUGCCGACCAGCGAUUAGGAGACGUUGAAUACAAAACACCACCAUGCGCAUUGCGGUCGUCUUUGGUGUCGCUCACAAGGCGGCACCGGGGCGGCUUAGCUCGCAUGGCACCGGUGAAUGAC
rnacentral:rRNA from 1 species